rnacentral:rRNA from 1 species
UACGGAGGGUGCAAGCAUUAAUCGGAUUUAUUGGGCGUAAAGGGCGCGUAGGCGGAGAUAAUAGUCAGAUGUGAAAUCCUGGGGCUCAACCUCAGAACUGCAUUUGAAACUGUAUCUCUAGAGGGUAGGAGGAGAAAACGGAAUUCCACAAGUAGCGGUGAAAUGCGUAGAUAUGUGGAAGAACACCGGUGGCGAAGGCGGUUUUCUAUCUUAUUCCUGACGCUGAGGCGCGAAAGCAAGGGGAUCAAACAGG